AGAACGAACGCUGGCGGCACGCCUAACACAUGCAAGUCGAGCGCCCAGCAAUGGGAGCGGCGGACGGGUGAGUAACACGUGGGAACAUGCCUUUCGGUACGGAACAACUGCGGGAAACUGCAGCUAAUGCCGUAUACGCCCUUACGGGGAAAGAUUUAUCGCCGAAAGAUUGGCCCGCGUCUGAUUAGCUAGUUGGUGAGGUAACGGCUCACCAAGGCUUCGAUCAGUAGCUGGUUUGAGAGAACGACCAGCCACAUUGGGACUGAGACACGGCCCAAACUCCUACGGGAGGCAGCAGUGGGGAAUCUUGGACAAUGGGGGAAACCCUGAUCCAGCGAUGCCGCGUGAGUGAUGAAGGCCUUCGGGUUGUAAAACUCUUUCGCGCACGACGAUAAUGACGGUAGUGCGAGAAGAAGCUCCGGCUAACUUCGUGCCAGCAGCCGC
rnacentral:rRNA from 1 species